rnacentral:lncRNA from 1 species
CCCGCCUCCUCCCUCGUCUUUUCCGGACUCCGCGGGAGCCAUUAGGUGCCCAGAGUCUCCUGAGAAAGUAGAGGGCGCGCCCGGGAGGCUGCGCUGCUGUCAGACGUGUCCAUCACCACAUGUGACAUUAAUGACAUCAUCCUGAUCUCACAGGAUCCCAGAAUAAUGAUGCUUGAAGGAUUUUCCAAAGUCAUCUACUUGCAACUCUGUUGAAAACUUUAAAGACAUUGGCCUGAAAGUUUCAGUGACUUGUCCAGGGAAACCCGGUUUGUGACAGAGUCAGAAGGAAAACUGCAGUUCUCUCUCAGAUAGUCACCAAAAGCAUCUUAUCAAAGGGGCCUUCUGAGGAAUACAUCCCAGCUGAAAUGAACAAUUAAAAAUUCCUGCCUUCAAGCAUCCCGUCUGUUUUCUGUGUAUUUUCUGUACCAAAACCUGAGCCACAGUUCUCUACACUCGCCCAGGAGCCACAGAAAGUGAACAUCCCUCAGCAGAGAUCUCCGGUCUGGAGUGUGUAUACUCUGCAGAGUGCUCAGCAUAAUCCAUUGGUGUAUGGGAAAUAUAUACAAGAAUCCUAUUUAUAAUAACUUUACCUAAAAAAGUGUCAGUGUCAUUCAAGCACGUGCCUGUGGAGUUCCCCAGGAGGAGUGGCCGCAGGUGGAGUCUGCACAGAGGACCCUGUACAGAGACGUGGUGAAGCUGGAGAACUACAGUUGCCUUGUCUGGUGGGUGAGCAGACCUUACCAUGUGACUCCCUUUAGUCUGCAGAUUUUGUGUUUUCUUUUUUAACUAUUAACCAAUUUUGUCGAGGUGUGUAUAAGAAAAAAUAAAACUCAGCACUUUUCAGUGUACAAGUGAGUGCGUUUUCAAAAAUGAUAUAGUAGAUGACCAUCAUCAAAAUCAUGAUUUGGAAUAUUUCCAUCAUGCCAAAAACAUUCUUGUACUACUUUGCGGUAAGUCCCCUCCCUCCACCCCUACCUCUCAGAUGCCUGAGAGCAAUCACUGGUCUGUUUUCUAUUGCGGUAGUUUUGCCUUUUCUCCACUUUCAUAUCAAUGGAAUCACAGACUCUUUUUGUACAUGAGAAAGAUUGGCUCUGAGCUAACAUCUGUGCCAAUCUUCCUCUAUUUUAUGUGGGAUGCCACCACAGCGUGGCUUGAUGAGUGGUGCUAGGUCCAUGCCUGGUAUCCGAACCCAUGAACCCCAGGCCACCAAAGCAGAGCAAACUUAACCACUAUGCCACUGGGCCAGCCCCGAGUAUAGACUGUCUUUUGUCUGGCUUCUUUUACUCAGCAGAAUGCUUUUGAGAGUCCUGUACGUGUGUGAAUCACUAGUUUCUUCUUUCUGUUCUGAGUAGUGUUCCCUUGUGUGCAUAAACCACAGUUUGUUUUCCUUUCAGUUGAUGGACACAUGGGAUUUUUUUCCAUUUGGGGCGAUUAUGAAUAAAACUUCAAUGAAUAUUUACAUACAGUUUUUUGUGUUGACACGUUUUCAUUGCUUGUAUAAGCACCUAGGAGUGGGCUUGCUGGGUCUUCUGGUAAGUUCAUAUGUAACUGUGUGAGACGCUACGAAUGUGUCCAAGCUGGCUCAACUGUUUUUCAUGCCUAUAAGCAAUGUCUGAGUUUUCUCAUUGCUCUCUCGUUACCAACAGAUGCUUUGGUAAGUCUUAAUAUUUUUAACCAUUCUGGUUAGUGUCUGGUUCUAUCUUACUGAGUUUUAAUUUGUGUUUCCUUGGUGAAUGUGUUGAACUUCUUUUCAUUUGCUUUUUAACCAUUUAUAAUCUCCUUUAAUUAAGUGUCUGAUCAAAUAUUUAGCCCAUUUUUUACUGUGUUUACUUUGUUUUGGUCUUAUUGUUGAGUUGAAGAAGUUCAGACCUUUAUCAAAUAUAUUUUUGCAAACCUUUUUCUCCAUCUCUAGCUUGCCUUUAAGAAGAAAAAGUUUUCAGGUUGCUUUUGGCUUUUACAUAUACUCUUUAAAUAACUUUUUAUGUGACAUAAUUGAUUCACAGGAAUUAGCACAGUUGUAUCCUUCACAAGUUUCCCCCACUGGUUAUGUCUUAGAUAACCAUAAUAUAGUCUCAACAGCAGUAAACAGACACUGGUACAAUGUGUGUGAAUAGCUUAGUGCCAUUUUAUCACAUGUGGAGAUGGGUGUAACCACCACCACAAUCAAGAUACAGAAUUCUUCUAUCACCACAAAGGGUUCUCUCGUGCUGCCUCUUUAUAAUCAUACCCGUCCUUCUCCCACACCUUCGCUAAUCCUGCCCACUACUUAUUAGGUCUUCAGCUCUAUAAUUUUUCCCUUUCAAGGACAUUAUAUAAAUGGAAUCAUAGAGUAUUUGAUGUGAGAUUGAGAUCAAUCCAAGUUGUAGUGUGUAUCACUUGUUUAUUUCUUUUAUUACUACACAGUGUUCCACUGUGUGAAUGUGUUGUAGUUUGUUUAGCCAUUCAUCUGUUGAAGAACUUCUUGGUUCUUUCUUGUCUUGGGCUUUAGUGAAUAAAGCUGCUGUGAACGUUCAUGUUCAGGUUUUUGGGUGAACAUAAAUUAUUGUUUCUCUGGGAUAAAUGCCCAGGAGUGUGAUUGGUGUUGUAUGGCAAGUAUAUAUUUUGUUCUUUAAGAAACUGCCAAACUAUUUUUCAGAGUGGCAGUACCAUUUUGCAUUUCCACCCGCACUGUAUGAGAAAUCCAGUUACUUUCUGUCCUUCCUAGUACUUGGUACUGCCACUAUUUUUUGUAUUUGUGGUUGUAAUAGGUGUAUAGUGAUAUCUCCUCAUGGUCUUAAUUUGCAUUUCCUUAAUGGCUAGUGAUGUUAAAUAUCUUUUCAUGUGUUCAUAUGCCAUCUAUAUAUCCUUAGACAGUAAGAUGUCUGUUCAUGGCUUUUGUGCUUUUUUUCCAUCUUUAUUGACACAUAAUGACAAAUAAAAAUUGUAUAUAUUUCAAGUGUACAACUUGAUCUUUUGAUAUAGGUAUACAUUAUGAAUUAAUUGCCACCAUCAAGCUAAUUAACAUAUCCAUCACCUGACAUAGUUACCUUUAUUUCUUUGUGGUGAAAAUACUUAAGAUCUAUCCUCUUGGUAAAUGUCAGGAAUAUAGUACAGUACUGUUAGCUAUAGUCACAUUGCUGUACAUGAGAUCUUCAUAGCUUACUCAUCUUGCAUAACUGAACUUUGUGUCCCCAUUUCCCAUGUCUGCAGCCCCUGGAAACCACCAUUCUACUUUCUGUUUCUGUGAGUUUGACUGUUUUAGAUUGCACUGAGAUCCCACAGUAUUUAUCUUUCUGUGACUGGCUUAUUUCCCUUAGUGUAAUGGCCUCAAAGUUUAUCCAUGUUGGUGCAAAUGUCAGGAUUUCUGUCCUUUCUUUUUGGCUGAAUAAUAUUCCAUUGUGGAUAUAUAUACCACAUCUUCUUUACUCAUUCAUCCGUCAGCAGACAUUUAGAUUAUUACCGUAUCUUGGCUGUUGUGAUUAAUGCUACAAUGAACGUGGGAGUGCAGAUAUCUCUUUGAGAUCUUGAUUUUUUUUUCCCUUUGGAUAUAUACCCACAAGUGGAAUUGGUGGAUCAUAGGGUAGUUUUAUUUUUAGGUGUUUUUUUUUUUUAUUUUAUUUUUUCCUUUUUCUCCCCAAAGCCCCCCAGUACAUAGUUGUAUAUUCUUCAUUGUGGGUCCUUCUAGUUGUGGCAUGUGGGACGCUGCCUCAGCGUGGUUUGAUGAGCAGUGCCUUGUCCGUGCCCAGGAUUGGAACCAACGAAACACUGGGCCUCCUGCAGCGGAGUGCGUGAACUUAACCUCUCGGCCACGGGGCCAGCCCCUUACUUUUAGUUUUUUGAAGAACCUUCAUACUGUCUUCCAGAUGGCUCUACCAAUGGAGAUUCCCAUCAACAGUGUCCAAGGAUUCUGUUUUCUCCACAUCCUCACCAAUACUUGUUGUCUUUUGUCUUUUGGUAAUCACCAUUCUCUAAGGUGUGAGGUGAUAUCUCACUGUGUUUUUGAUUUGCAUUUCGCUGAGGAUUAGUGAUGUUGAGCAUAUUUUCAUAAACUUGUUGGCCAUUUGUAUAGCUUUUGAGAAAUGUCAACCUAGAUCCUUUGCCUCCUUUUUUAAUCUGGUUAUUUGCUUUUUAGCUAUUGAGUUGUAUGAUUUCCUUAUGUAUUUUGGAUAUUAACCCUUAUAAUUAUUAUUAUAAUUUGCACAUAUUUUCUCCCGGUGUCUAAGUUGCCUUUUCACUCCGUUGAUUAUUUCCUUGGCUGUACAGAAACGUUUUACUUUGAUGCAAUCUCACUUGUUUAUUUUGGCUUUUAUUGCCUGUACUUUUGGUGUCAUAUCCAAAAACCAUUCCCAAGACUGAUAUCAAGGAGGUUUUUCCCUCUGUUUUCUUCUAGGAGUUGCCAAAGUCAACAAUGAGUUCCUUACAGCUAAACCUGAUAGACACCUUUCCAUCUUUGUCUCACUUGACCUCACAGCAGCUGUGGAUGAUGAUAACAUCCUCUUGGAGACACUCUACUAAACUUUGAGAACUCAGUAGUCUCCUGGUUUUUCUCCUGUGUAUGUUCAGUUGUAGUACAUUGUCUUGGAUUUUACAAAGGUGCCCAAAACUCAGCACUCCUCAACUAAACUCGCAGUCUUUCUCUGCAGAUACUUUUUCUCCUACGUCCUCCUUCAAAAUGAAUGCCUCCAAUUUGCAUGGAUGCUAAAGCUAAAGACUCAAGCAACAUCUUUGAAUCUUCCCUCUCCCUUAGUAUCCAAUCUCUCAUCCCACCACCAACCAGUCAGUGCUGAUUAUUACAGUCUCUAAACAGCUCUCAAGUAGUUUCACUUUUCUGCAUCCUUUCUGAAACCACCCUAGUCCUAGUAACCAGCCAAAUAACUGAAUUAUCUUAAUGACCUCAGGCUUCUGAGCCUCGAUAUCCGGCUUCCUAAAAUGGGGCAGUUAGAAUGAACACCAAGUUUCUUCCUUCUCUAUAUUCUGUGAUUAUAAGAAUUUAAAGCUAAGGAGAGGCUCAGGGCAAAACCAAUUCCAGUGCUUUGGGAGACGAUCUCACUUUCUCCAUUUAUUUAUUUAUUUAUUCAUUAAUUUUUGUAUCCUUUCUUCCUUGCUUCCUUAAUCCCUCCCUCUGUCUCAGAGCAUGCAAACUUAACUACUCAGCUGUGGGGCCAGCCCCACACUUUCUCCAUUUAAAUUAACUCUUGGGGUGACCGAGACUGUGCCUCAUAUCCUCCCAUAGCACUGCUUUAUAGGAGAGUCUCAGGGUCUUCAUGACAACUUAUAAUGAGGCUCUUUUUCUUAAAUAGGAAUCUGCUUUAUGCCACGUUUUGGACUCUAGAAAAUAUUUUGAAAUCAGAUUCUAAUGUUGGUAACAGCUUUACCUUGCUUUGUUAAUUUGUCUGAAAGCUCCUGUUGAAAAUAAAUGUCACAUGUGGAACAAAAAAGUCCUCUGUAAAAAUUUAGUCCAUCUUUGUUCACUCCCUCUUGAGAGUAUAGAAAAAAACCUGCAUAACAGGAGAAUGUUGAUGGAGAUUAGGGUGGGGGCAGUGAUGAUGGAGUUUGGUUGUUUUUCAGCAGUAGUAAGGUCAAAAUAAAAGCAUAAUAAAAGAAGAGUAAAAGAUUUAGGUCAGAGCUUUCUAUGAAAAAAAUUAAAAACCAUAAGCAGAUGGAAAAAGUUGCAAUACAAUAUGGCAGAUUCCACUAAUCAGUUUAAUAGACAGCCAUUUUAAUAGCAGA